GCCGUCGUAGAUUACGGUGGUCGCCAUCUCCGCAUAGGGAGAAACGCGUUCAAGAUGGAAGUGAGGGUUCGAUUCCCUCCGACGGCA